AAAAGGUUUACAAUAUAGCAUCUCAAAUAUUUUCUGAUCAAGCAUCCCAUGCGUGCUAGGUCCCCAGCAAGUUCAGGAUGGUGAGUUCCAGAUAACGUUUCCUUCUGCAACUCUUAGACCUUUUAAAGCAAUUGCAGCACCUUUUGAACGAGCGAUGAAAUUCGUCCUUAUAAGGUGGAAAAGCUCCAUGUUGUGCUCCUGGAAGACUGGAAUGCAAGGAUGGCGAGGAUUGCCUCACAUGAGCCUCUUAUCUGAGAGAUUUGUGAUAAGACUGAAGAAGUUCGUGCGAUACAAGAAGAAUUUCCCUCUUAUGUCAAGGAACCCAGAGAUGUACAAGAGAAAGCCAGAUGCCACAUCUCCCCUUGCCUGGUCCAUGGACUGCAGCGAGAGCGGUUCCAAGCCGGGGGCUGUGAGGGAAGGACCACACACACACCCAGUCCGGGAGCAACACAGAGCCAGAGACACUCUCUGGCCAGGAGGUCACCAAGGAGGAAGAAAAAUAGAACCUGACUCCCUAGCUGGGCAGAGCUGCAGCGGCUUUUGUAUGGUGAGUGUGACUGAAAUGUGGUAAAAACACAAUCCAGUGUCAAGCAAGUAGAGAGGAUGAAUAAGACAGUGUUAGUAGAAUCGUGCUUUUUUGGCCUAAGUUACCUGAUCAAGAUUGGCCUGGCUCUGAGCAGGCAGACAGACCAGAUGUCCUCAGGGGUCCCUUACGACCUAAAUUAUCCUGUGAUACUAAAGAAUAACAGGCCUGCUGGCCUGCAGGUAAGUCAGUCCCGAACUUCAAUAAACACUAAGAAUCAGAUUCA
rnacentral:lncRNA from 1 species